rnacentral:rRNA from 1 species
CGUAGGGGGCGAGCGUUGUCCGGAUUUAUUGGGCGUAAAGGGCGUGUAGGCGGCUUUGCAAGUCAGGGGUGAAACCCCGGGGCUCAACCCCGGGCCUGCCUCUGAAACUGUGAGGCUUGAGUGCUCUAGAGGGCAGUGGAAUUCCCGGUGUAGCAGUGAAAUGCGUAGAGAUCGGGAGGAACACCAGUGGCGAAGGCGGCUGCCUGGGGAGUAACUGACGCUGAGGCGCGAAAGCUGGGGGAGCAAACAGGAUUAGAUACCCUGGUAGUCCCAGCCGUAAACGAUGAGUGCUAGGUGUGAGGGGUAUCGACCCCCCUCGUGCCGUAGUCAACGCAAUAAGCACUCCGCCUGGGGAGUACGGCCGCAAGGUUG